AACAAUGAAGUCAAAUGUCAAACAACGUUAUUAUAUGACAAACAAUCAAGAUUGAAUGCCGAGAAGCAUAUUGAUGAAUGGAUUGCAUAGACAAGCUAAUUCUUCCAUUUCAAGCUAAAGAGUGCGAAAUUCCAUUUUUAGUUUCUGAAAAAGCUUCAGGCUUUGUGAAGACAGUUGCAUAACACAUUACCCAUUUUGAAAAUCUUUCAGAUUUAGCAUUAGAUUGUAAACAAAUUGGUUUUGCUACAGCGAUUCAGUUCUCUUGUAAUUUUCAAUUCUCAAAAUGAUGGCUUAGCAUUUCUAAAAAAGGUACAACCUGCUUUCCCUAUGUCU
rnacentral:lncRNA from 1 species